rnacentral:rRNA from 1 species
GACGAACGCUGGCGGCGUGCCUAAUACAUGCAAGUAGAACGCUGAAGCUUGGUGCUUGCACCGAGCGGAUGAGUUGCGAACGGGUGAGUAACGCGUAGGUAACCUGCCUGGUAGCGGGGGAUAACUAUUGGAAACGAUAGCUAAUACCGCAUAAGAGUAGAUGUUGCAUGACAUUUGCUUAAAAGGUGCAAUUGCAUCACUACCAGAUGGACCCGCGUUGUAUUAGCUAGUUGGUGAGGUAACGGCUCACCAAGGCAACGAUACAUAGCCGACCUGAGAGGGUGAUCGGCCACACUGGGACUGAGACACGGCCCAGACUCCUACGGGAGGCAGCAGUAGGGAAUCUUCGGCAAUGGACGGAAGUCUGACCGAGCAACGCCGCGUGAGUGAAGAAGGUUUUCGGAUCGUAAAGCUCUGUUGUAAGAGAAGAACGAGUGUGAGAGUGGAAAGUUCACACUGUGUCGGUAUCUUACCAGAAAGGGACGGCUAACUACGUG